UACAGAGGUCUCGAGCGUUGUUCGGAUUCAUUGGGCGUAAAGGGUGCGUAGGUGGCGCUGUAAGUCGGGUGUGAAAUCCUGAGGCUUAACCUCGGAACUGCAUUCGAUACUGCGGCGCUUGAGGACUGGAGAGGAGACUGGAAUUCAUGGUGUAGCAGUGAAAUGCGUAGAUAUCGAGAGGAACACCUGCGGCGAAGGCGGGUUGCUGGGCUGACACUGACGCUGAUGCGCGAAAGCUAGGGGAGCGAACGGG
rnacentral:rRNA from 1 species